rnacentral:rRNA from 1 species
GUGGCAGCCGCCGCGGUAAUACGAAGGGUGCAAGCGUUAAUCGGAACUACUGGGCGUAAAGCGCGCGUAGGUGGUUCGUUAAGUUGGAUGUGAAAGCCCCGGGCUCAACCUGGGAACUGCAUCCAAAACUGGCGAGCUAGAGUACGGUAGAGGGUGGUGGAAUUUCCUGUGUAGCGGUGAAAUGCGUAGAUAUAGGAAGGAACACCAGUGGCGAAGGCGACCACCUGGACUGAUACUGACACUGAGGUGCGAAAGCGUGGGGAGCAAACAGGAUUAGAUACCCCGGUAGUC